rnacentral:rRNA from 1 species
UAGGGAAUCUUCCACAAUGGACGCAAGUCUGAUGGAGCAACGCCGCGUGAGUGAAGAAGGUUUUCGGACCGUAAAGCUCUGUUGUUGGUGAAGAAGGAUAGAGGUAGUAACUGGCCUUUAUUUGACGGUAAUCAACCAGAAAGUCACGGCUAACUACGUGCCAGCAGCCGCGGUAAUACGUAGGUGGCAAGCGUUGUCCGGAUUUAUUGGGCGUAAAGCGAGCGCAGGCGGAAGAAUAAGUCUGAUGUGAAAGCCCUCGGCUUAACCGAGGAAUUGCAUCGGAAACUGUUUUCUUGAGUGCAGAAGAGGAGAGUAGAACUCCAUGUGUAGCGGUGGAAUGCGUAGAUAUAUGGAAGAAUACCAGUGGCGAAGGCGGCUCUCUGGUCUGCAACUGACGCUGAGGCUCGAAAGCAUGGGUAGCGAACAGGAUUAGAUACCCUGGUAGUCCAUGCCGUAAACGAUGAGUGCUAAGUGUUGGGAGGCUUCCGCCUCUCAGUGCUGCAGCUAACGCAUUAAGCACUCCGCCUGGGGGAGUACGAC